rnacentral:lncRNA from 1 species
GUGUGCACCUUCUCAGCACAUAGACACAGCGUGAGCGCCCUCAAGUACCACGCAGGCACCUUGUUCACAGGCAGUGGGGACGCCUGCGCCCGGGCCUUUGAUGCCCAGUCAGGAGUGCUGCAAAGGGUGUUCCGAGGCCACACCUUCGUCAUCAACUGUCUCCAGGUACACGGCCAGGUGCUCUACACAGCAUCUCAUGAUGGUGCUCUGCGCUUCUGGGACGUACGUGGUCUCCAGUCAGUGCCACCUUUGCCACGCAGGCCAUCAGCUAAGCGCAGCCUGUCACGCCUCUUCAGCAACAAGGUGGCCUGUGCAGCCCCAGGGCCCCUACAACCAGCCUGAGGGCCUGGAGAGGGGACGAGGGACCGAGGGAGGCGUGGCUUGUUUUGCAGUGGCCUGUAGCAGGGCAUGUACCUGGCCUUGUGACCUUUCUCACUGUGGAGGAAGGGAAGGUGCUUCUUGCCCUCACUCUGAAUCAAAGGCCUUGCUACCUGGAUACUUCUAGCCAAGGCAGGGCCUCCAGCUCUCAUAGCUGAACCCC